GUUACCAGGGCAAUAUUACACUAUUGUUUCGAGCCUUCGGGGCAAUAUUACACUAUUGUUUCGAGCCAUAUUCAGAUGAUAUGCGAUCACGGCCAAACCGCAUCCCCGUCCGAUCCACUUCCGCGACAGAGAUAAGCCACUACAGCUCAUCGCAGCCGGCCGGUGUGUCUUAUGACGGAGCCGAGGGGUAUUGCUUUAGGUGGUUGUUUAUAGACGCCGCAGUACGUGAUGAGCAACACAGUCAAGCCGGGGCGCUUUACUGCACACACGCAGCUGAGUGAGGCAUUCUCCGCUAGGUUCUUCAGAGCCGCCCCCAUCCGCAAAGCCCGACAAGCAGCCUUCGCGGAAGCUGUGACCGCCGAACGCGGCGCCUCAGCCAGUGUGGCGCCGUGGUGACAUAUAAUGGAGCCGGGCCAUGCUGCUUUUAGGAUCCCAGUUUGAGAGCUCGAAGACCAGACCCUUAACGGCUCUGAGUUGCUGUGGCCACGGUCUUCCUGGAGGUUGACACUGAAGCUGGGAUCCUCAGCAUCUCCACUAUCGGGCCCCACGUGCAUUGCAUUGCGAGGCAGUGGCAAACUGGAUGGGAUCCGCUGCCCCUUGCCUCACCGACAUCGGUUAGGUUAGGAUACCUGCCAGAGGUCUGGUGGGCCUUAAGGUCGCCAGCCACAUGUUGCAAGACGGGGAGGGAAAAAUUCAACUUCCAUUCACACCUAUGGGCAGUUUGAAGUCUUUAAUUAACCUACCACGCACAUCUUUGGGAUGUGUGAGGAAGGUGCCCGGAGAAAACCCACACAGGCACGGCGAGAAAAGACAAACUCCACACACAGCGCAAGGAUUUGGACCCCGGUCCUCAGAACUAUGAGGCAGAUGCUCUCAGCAGUCGUCCACCUUUCGAAUUUCCAUUUUAAAUCAAACAUCGUCAGUCAUGUGAGCAAGACUUUUUUGCAAUGUCUCAAAUUUCCAAAAUGUUUUUUUUUGGGGUACGCUUGGUUCAACUUUAAUGCAUAUCAUCAUCGGAUUAUUAAGAGGGAUCAAAAAUGCUAGUUCUACCCAUCCUAACAUGAAGCUCUUCAACAAAGUGUGAAAUUAAGAAUGAUCAUAUAUAAAACAUGAUCAUAUGUAAAAUUGAUUUCUAAAUAUUGUUAUUAUUGACAGUAACUCCAGGGUGACCUCACCGACUUUGGCCUCAUUGCAAGAUACCAGAAAAUAGAUGAAUAUUUUCUUCCACACAUUCUUUUUAUUUGUAAAUCAUAAAAAUUAUAUUUUUGAAAUAUAAAACGUACAUUUGACCCAUAUCUGUUAUACAAACAAGAAAUGUUGCAAUCAAUGCCUGACAUUUUUUUCUUUUUUUUUUUUACAAAUUUUCUUUCAAUGGAACACAUGUUGUAAACAAUCAAUGUUUUCCUGUUAAUACUGACAAAGGAAAAAAACAAUCAAAAACGAGACAGGACUUGACCAGGAUUCAUACAUUGGGUUUAAAGUUGAAAUGAUCAUCGAGACAUCUUUUCCAGACUUGUUGGUUUUCAUGGUCACCCACGUUGCAAAUCCAAGUCUAUUACCUUGAGUUGUCCCAUUGGAUGGUCCCCAACCGCGGAUUCAUACAUCCUCAUGAUAUGACUUGGCCCUAGAGCGAAUGGCUGUUGAAUAUUUACAGUGUAUCACUCGCUCAGCAUUUGCUUUUAUACUUGGUAAUGUGUGACAUCCCAUGUGACAACAUUAUGUUGAAACAGAAGUUGUGUUUAUUUCCAUACAAACUGAUGUGAUUUCCAUUUGCUCUGUACACGUUUAAUGAUACACCGUCUCCUUGGAGGUAUACAAUGAUGAGGAAUGAAAGCAGGAGGGGGCUGUGAGGUCUUCUCAGGACUACAGUACAGUACAUUUGUGGGGGAUAGGAUAUGAGGAAAAAUGUCAACGUAAUCUCCAGAUUCUGUUCAGCACCUGACCGAGGGACAUGGCAAAGACUAAUUUGACUCCAAUGUAGUGGUGGAAUGGGAAUGCUUCAGUUUCAUUAAUUUUUUCUCUUUAAUUUUCAAUUACAAGCAAACUGUACACCUCCAUGCAAGAUAUAAGCGGCCCUACAGUAAGUGGAAAAAAAACACUUUUCUAAUUCAGUAUCUUUUUUCAAGUAUUUGAUUACAUUAGAAAAAAAAAAUCUGCAUGCAGGUCAGAAAAGGUAAUUCCGGCCCUAUUCUGACAAGGUGAGAAAGGUCCAUAGGCCAAAUGGAGAAUGAGCAUUGAUGUUGUCCUGACACAUGAGUUUGAUUUGUUACUUUCACACAAAGAAUGUUGCACAACAAAAACUAUGAGCGAUUUUCUGUUUUCUAAUAACUACACAAAAAUGUAGAGGAGAAGUGAUUGUGUUAGUUUUCACUUUUUUUCUUUUAAAAAGUUGAACUUUUAGUCAUAAAAAAAAAUCAAGCUCUUAUGCUUGCGUUUUCUCAAAAGAACAUAAAGAAAAGGUUCCAUAAAAAACAUUUAAACAUGCUUGGGGGACGGUAUUUUAAUCGAUAUCUUUCUUUUCCUUUGGUGAAUCAAAGAUUUCCUUAUUUAGAGUCCUAUAGUGACGGUACAUUUUCGUGACAUUCAAUCAAUAGUGACACCAAUGUUUAUAUAUUGGUCAUCCUCCUGGGAGGACUAACACAAUCUCUACAAGGACAACUUAAUUCAAUUUCGUGAUUACAAAACAAAGAUGUCUUAAUCACCUGCCCCCCAUUCCUGCACAAGACUUGCAGACAAGAAAUUGUUUCAUAUCCUUUUUUAUCACUUGUUUUUUUCUGUCCAUGCACACACCAGACUGACAACACAUCAUGAGCAUUGAACACUAUAAAAUCCUUUUGUUCAAUAGCAACAGAGGAAAAAUAAUUGGACAACAAAGCAAACACACUAAAACAGUAUGGCUUUAGCGUAGCCAUGGUAAACAUUUUGAAUAGAGGAUCUUUAGACAGAGAGAGGGACCAGUGAUGCGGCUUCAGGGUGUAGGCACCAGAAGAAGGCCCUGUGCUUCCACAUUAAAUACCCAUGUGGAAGCACCCCACUCGUGGGCAGAGGUGGUGGCAGUCUAAUGGGGUUCUAGAGGAGGCCCUUCCACAUAGGAUGCCAGUACACUACCUGCAGGUGUGGAGGGAGGUAACCUCUGUCUCCAGUUCAUACAUUCCAGCGCUUAUAUACAAUUCAUUGCUUAUCUUAAUUCAGCUAAAAGCCACCCUGCUUCAUUGGUCACAUGGCAUUCAUCAUUUAUCAACUUCAGGAUCCCCCAAAUUGAAAGGUACUACUGGUUGUCUGUAGACAGGCCCCAAUCUUCAGCGUGCACAGAGAUGUGUUUUUGAAAGUGUUAUGGGACACUGAAAAGUCGUGCCUAGACUAAAUUAACCACAACAGGAAUGAUUGUCAGAUCUCAACAAAGCUUUCUUGUUGUGAUGUGAUUUUUGAUUGUUGUUACUCUAUAUUUCUGCUUUAGUUUUUUUUCUCCCCAUGCAUGCCAUGAGGUAAUCACACGCAGUGCGCUGUGGAGCUGUUGGUCCACUAUGAUCGGACCCCGUGUGGUCCAGAGGAGCUGUCGAGCGAAGACUGAGAAGCUCUUCGUGUGAGGGAAGCAAGAGUUGGAUCCACCAAAGAAGAAGGUCUGCAUGUAAAUGUAUGCAUUCCUAUGCAAACAACAGAAGAGAGUUUUUCUUGCAAUGAGAGUGAAUAUAUUCACCAGAAAACGGCAGGCACAAUUCCAGGAACAGUAUCGGUAGCGACUGAAUUUUCCACAAUGGUCACAGGAGUGCUGGAGCCUAUCCCAGCUGUUAUCAAGCAGAAGGAAGUGGAGAUCCUGACUGGAAAUCCCGGAGAAAACGCAUGCAGGCACGGGGAGAACAUGCAAACUUCACACAGGUUAAUGCGACAUGCUGCUUAUAAACACCUUGUGAGAUGGUGUUGGGAAAUUUUUGGCAGAAAUAACCGUGUGGCAAUUCCAUCCUGUUGUGUGUCAAAGAUUCCUGACACCUUUCCUGAUUCAGAGGGCCAAGAGUACACAGGAUUUAAAUGGUCUACAUCCUAAUUUUGUUUUUCUUUGUGUAAAUGUUGAUGUAUAUGAAGUAAACGUACACCACAUAAGUAGAAUCAUAGCACUUUUAUUGAACUGUAUGUUUAUAUUUUGUGUAAAUAUGUUACACUAGCACAGCAUUAUUUGGUCUUUCAAUAAGAGUACUAUGAGAACACCUCAGGUUGAAAUACAUGUUGCAGUAUUCUCUCUGUUGUCGUAAAGAUGUGUUCCGUCAUGAAUAGGCACUUCAGUCAGGCAACUUUCGGAAAGGACCAAAGAUGUAGAUUCAGCAUGUCAACUUCUUGUACAGAAGAUGUUUCCUGCAAAAUCUAUAAUUAUUAGAAAAAUAAGGUUCAAAGUUUAUAAAAUAAGAAAAAUGUAUUGUAUUGGCCUAGCUGGUAAAGCGUUGGCCUCACAGUUCUGAGGACCCAGUUCCAUCCCAGCCCUGCCUGUUUGCAUGUUGGCACGUAUUCCCCGUCCCUGAAUGGGUUUUCUCCAAGCACUCCGGUGUCCUGACACAUCCCAUAAACAUGGAUUAAUUGGUGACUCUAAAUUGCCCCUAGGUGUGAAUGUGAGUACUGCUGUUUGUCUCGAUGUGCCCUGAAAAUGGCUGGCAAAUAGUUCAGUGUGUAACCCGCCUCCUGCCUGUUGACAGUUAGGAUAGGCUCCAGCACUCCCCAUGACCCUCGUGAGGAUAAGUGACAAAGAAAAUGGAUGGAUGUAUUGAUGAAGCUCAGGUUUAUUUCAUUCUAUGUAAUGGUUCAAAAAUUGUUUUUGAUAAGUUGCAAACAGGUGUCCUGUGAGUGACUAGUAUGUAAUGGUGCUUUUUUAAUGUUGUCAUAUUCUAUUUAAAAAAAAAACUGCAACAAAAUUAAUAAAUAAAAAAACUAUAGGUUUGUAUCCAUUUUCUUAGCCACUUAUUCUCACGAGGGUCCCGGGAGUGCUGAAGCCUAUCCCAGCUGUCAACAGGCAAGACGUAGGGUGGACACAGAGCUGGUUGCCAACUAAUUACAGGGCACAUCGAGACAAACAGCUGGACUCAAAAUCACAUAUAGGGGGAAUUUAGAGUCUCCAACUCAUGUUUUUGGGACGUGGGAUGAAGCUCACUCAGGCAUGGAGAGAACACGCAAACUCCACACAUAGAGGGCUGGGAUUGAACACGGGUUCUCAGUACAGUGAGAGCAACGCUUUCCAGCUGCUCCACCAUGCCGCCAUUUGUACACAUUAUCCUGUUUUUCUAAUUGCGAAUGGUCACAAUAUUUGCGGUAAUAACAUUUUGCUAAGUACGACGUGUGCUUCUAUCAUUCAACCAUGUAAACAUUGUUCAACGUUUUCAGGAAAUAAAAGAUUAUCAACAUACCUCAACAGCUUGUUUUUUAACAAAACCUCUUUGCAGUUUUGGUCCUUUGUGUGGGGGGCUAAGCUUGCCGAAGCGUGCCCAGGUUCAGGUGAAAUGCUCACUGCAUGUGAACUGGGUUUGGAAAAAUUAGCCCUCUUCGUUUCCACAAAGCUUACCCACUGUGUUCUGAGGCUUGGGUCUUUAGGAAAUAAUAUACACUGUGACCAGAAUUAUUCAAAUUGCUACAAAACUGAACCACACACGUGUUCACCGUUAUUAUGGGUUGGUUUUAGCUUACAAUCACUGAGGAAUUCUCAAAACCAGCAAGUCUCCGUGCUCAUGUAACUCACACCACUGUCCACCUUGAAUGACGUCAGAGGUUGCACCCCCGAAAUGGGUAAUUUUUCAGGUGGUGGAAACUAGGUCAAAGUUGGCUGACUUUAAUUAAAAAACACUUAUAUUUUUGGGAAAAAACAUCUAACAGGAUACGUAUUGUACGGUACAGUUGAACAUCUAUUUUCAUCUAGAUAAGAUCAUUUGCAUUAGAAAUUACACAUUACAAUCCUUUUAAAACCUCGAUCAAAUCCUGUCGGUCAGUAUAUAUUUUUUUACAAAUUAAUUUCUUUUAUUUGUACUUAUAGAUGUAAAAGUAAGUAGUAGAUGUAGUAGUAGUAGAUGCGUAAGUGAAAUAUGAAAGUGAUAUGACCGCGCGUACUAUUUUUUGACACUCGCAAAAAUGUUGGUCGCAUUGCAAAAAUCGGUAAAAUUGCCGGAUUUGGAGUUUUGGAUGCGAUUAUGUGCAAUUGUAAUGAAAAUAAGUGCAAAUUGUAAUAAUUAAGGGAUCAUUAGUGAAAUUUCAUGAAAAUUCGUUGAGAAACAAAAAAGUAAUGACAUUUUGAAGAUCCUAAUUAAGUGGGAAGGUCACAACUUAUUGUUCUUUUCUAUUGUUUUACCAAUACCAUAAUUAGUCCAUAUUCCGAAUCUUUAAAUGCUCAUAAUUUUUGCUGUUUGAGCUAUUGAAAUAAUUUAAGUAAGAUUUUAAGGCGUUUUUAAAGCUCUUUCUAAUGAUAGUUUUUUAAAUUUCAUUCAUUUAUUUUCUUAGCCCCUUAUCCUCACGAGGGUUGCAGGAGUGCUGGAGCCUGUCCCAACUGUCAACGGGCUGGAGGCAGGGUAGACCCAGAACUAGAACAGUGAUUUCCAACCUUUAUAGAGCCAAGGCACAUAUUUUACAAUUGAAAAAUCCCACGGCACACCAAUAAAAGUAAAUGUCACCAAAAAUGGAUCAAUUAAUUACUGUAUGUACAUCCUGCCAUCUAAUAGAAGAGGUUUUUUUUUGUUCUGUCUGUCAUUGUGCCCCACUGGCAUAAAAAGAUGAAUAAAGAUACAUUAUUUCUAUAAAUGGUUUUUUUUUAGCAAAUACAUAAAAUUGGAUAACUUCCCACCCCACACCUGACGAGCGCUCAUGGCACACUAAUGUUCCCCGGGCGCUGUUUGGGAAUCACUGAACUGGAACAUGUCUGAAGAAAAAUUUGGUACUUACAUUAA